UACGUAGGGUGCAAGCGUUUGUCCGGAAUUAUUGGGCGUAAAGAGCUCGUAGGCGGUCUGUCGCGUCGGCUGUGAAAUCCCGAGGCUCAACCUCGGGUCUGCAGUCGAUACGGGCAAACUAGAGUAUUGCAGGGGAGACUGGAAUUCCUGGUGUAGCGGUGAAAUGCGCAGAUAUCAGGAGGAACACCGGUGGCGAAGGCGGCCCGCUGGGCAGGAAGACGGGCGCAAGCCCGUCGGCUGACACUGAGGCGCGACAGCGUGGGGAGCAAACAGG
rnacentral:rRNA from 1 species